GCCCGUUUAGCUCAGUGGUAGAGCGCGCCACUCGUAUAACCGCGAUGGUGAGGUCGAUCGUUCAAUCCGGUCAGUGGGCA